CCAGCAGACCAGCUGCCUGAAGAAGGACUGGAAAAAGCCAGAGUGUACAAUCAAACCAAAUGGGGUGAGUGAAGGGGCUCUUGUUGAUGGGACAGGCUGCCAGGGUAGGAGUUGGAGUCCAGAAAAGUGCUGUGCUCAUCACUGGGGGCUGUCUGCAAAGAAGGGAGGGUGGAGGAAAGGGGGAAAUUUCUCCAUCAGAGUGGGUCCUCCUGAAGAAGCCUCUCUAUGGAGUUUAUCCUGUAUCCUGGCCAGUUCACCAAAGGAUUUCACAGUCAUCGGCCACCCUGGGGGUGACACUGAGGCUAUGGAUGACCUCGGGCUGGAGGUGCAGCACUUUUGAGUUAAGGCUCUUGCUCUCUCUCUAAUAGCUUUGUGGGUUCACUGAAGGUCCUUGUUCCCUCCUGGGGUUAAGGGAAGGGACUGGAUUAUACGGGUGAUUUAGCAGGGCUCUUGGUUUCAAGGACCUUUUGUUCAAAUUAAAUCUUAAAGGGAAAAUGUAAAUAUGAGGCCAAGGUGGCAAGGCCCUCACUGUGCAAGCAUGAGGACCUGAGUUUGCAUUACAGCACCCACGUGAAAACAGCUGGGCAUGGCUAUACCUAGCUUGUCGGCUGCCAGUCUAACUGCAGGUUCAGUGAGAGAUUUUUCUCCAGUGGAAUAAAGCAGGGUGGUGAAGUGAGACACCGAUGUCCUUGUCUGGCAUGUACACAGGCAUGAGUACACACACACACACACACACACACACACACGCACGCACACACACACACACACACACACACACACACACACACGCACGGACACACGCACGCCAGAGAGAAUCAGAGACAGACAGACACCAUCUGGGGAAUUCUUGCCUUUAAACAUGUUUGCACAUUAACACAGGCCCCUGUGAAUACACCCGUGCAGUGUACUACCUGUGAGCAGUACACAUACGCAUGUUCACACAGGAAUGGCCCCUGCACAGGAUAAAGCACUAUAGUCUGCAGGCAAACCAAGGGUAGCACACACUUGAAUGCCAGCAUUGGAGAAGUUAAAGCAGGCAAACUACAAAUUCUAGAUCAGUCUGGGCUACUUGAGACUGUGUCCAAAGGGGAGAACUUCCAAAAUCUCCUCUCAGGGUAAGUUGCAUGUCCAUCUGCUUCUGUUAUUGUUGUCCUGAUAAAAUACCAUCAUCAAGAUCAACUAAUAAUAGGAAAGGUUUAUUUUGGCCUAAGUUUCCAGAGGAAUAAAAGUCCAUCAGGGUGGGAGGUAGGGAGACGUGGAUGCCACCAGAGCAGGAAGCUGAGCACUCACAGCCUUGCAUGUAAACAAGAAGCAGAGUGAAUUGGGAGUGGUCCAAGGUUUUAAAUCUUAAAGCCCGCCCCAGUGAAGUACUUCCUCCAUCAAGGUCAAACCUUCUAAAACUCCCCAAACAGCACCACCAAUUGGAGACCAAGUAUUCAAAUAUCUCGCCCUAUGGGGGACAUUCUUAUUCAAAUCACCACAUCCCUCCACUUUAGAACAGGCCAGGAGGCCAGUCUCCACCCUGACACUCAUGUUCUCCUCCCCAGAGGAAGCGGAAAUGCCUGGCCUGCAUCAAACUGGACCCCAAGGGUAAAGUUCUAGGCCGGAUGGUC
rnacentral:lncRNA from 1 species